ACCCUACGGGGCGCAGCAGUGGGGGAUAUUGCACAAUGGGGGCAACCCUGAUGCAGCGACGCCGCGUGAGCGAUGGAGUACUUCGGUAUGUAAAGCUCUGUCAGCAGGGAAGAGAAUGACGGUACCUGACCAAGAAGCCCCGGCUAAAUACGUGCCAGCAGCCGCGGUAAUACGUAGGGGGCAAGCGUUAUCCGGAUUUACUGGGUGUAAAGGGAGCGUAGACGGAGAAGCAAGUCUGAAGUGAAAGCCCGUGGCUUAACCACGGGACUGCUUUGGAAACUGUUUGACUAGAGUGCUGGAGAGGG
rnacentral:rRNA from 1 species